rnacentral:rRNA from 1 species
UUUCGAAUCAUUCACAAUGGGCGAAAGCCUGAUGGUGCGACGCCGCGUGAGGGAUGAAGGUCUUCGGAUUGUAAACCUCUGUCACUGGGGAAGAAACGCUGAAUUCUAAUACAGUUCAGCCUGACUUAACCCGGAGAGGAAGCAGUGGCUAACUCUGUGCCAGCAGCCGCGGUAAUACAGAGACUGCAAGCGUUAUUCGGAUUCACUGGGCGUAAAGGGUGCGCAGGUGGCCGUGUGUGUCAGAUGUGAAAUCCCGGGGCUUAACUCCGGAACUGCGUCUGAAACUACACGGCUAGAGCAUUGGAGAGGGUAGUGGAAUUCACGGUGUAGCAGUGAAAUGCGUAGAUAUCGUGAGGAACACCAGAGGCGAAGGCGACUACCUGGACAAUAGCUGACACUCAGGCACGAAAGCGUGGGGAGCCAAAGG